rnacentral:lncRNA from 1 species
UUUCUCUUAUAGAGGUAUUGUUCUCCCUCAAAAAUUAUUUUUUAAUAGACCUUGUGAUAGCCUAGGAAGCAACUCUAGAAAAAAAAAAUUGCAUAUUGAUUGAAGAAUAGUCAUGUAAAAGAGUGCAAGGUAAAACAAGUCAUAUAAUACAAAUUAGUUUUUAAGAUAAUUGAAGGUAUUACCCUUAACACUUUAGAUAGCUUAUCAGAUUAACAACAUCACUUUUCCUAUUGUUUUACUUUACCACCUUGGCCAUUUCACCUACACCGGGAGCAAUCCCAAAAGCCCC